rnacentral:lncRNA from 1 species
GCCUCUGGUGGCCCCAACUGGUGGUACUGGCAGUCGUCCAUCCUACUCGGUAACGCCUGUCCUCACCAUAUGUUAGAGAAUGGAAUAACAGAAGUUUAGUACUCGGAUCAACAGAUUCGCACGAUAAGAAUUUUAAGAAUAUAAAGAUUUUCCUAAAGGUUCUGCACCCUCUGGAGGAUAAAUACGGACGUCUCUGUAUCGAUCCAUGAGACUCUACUAAAUCGGCUCAUAACUCGCGAGACCUAUGUAACCUAGGCUCUGAUACCAACUUGUUACGACCCCAAAUACCAGUCGUGAUGGCGCCUAUCACAUUAUUAGGCAAGCCAACCCAAACAUUUAAUCACAACCCUUUUUCCUUAUAAUAAGUUUUAAAUACCAAAUUUUCAUUAUAAGCAUUUAAAGCAAAAAAAUAUAUAUGUGGAAGUCAAAUAAACAUGAAACUACACAGCCCCAAAAUAUCUAGUGUCACGAGUCUAGAGACUCUACUAUAUAACUGACUGUCUGAUACAACAUAAGUAUAGAAAAUGCGGAAAAGAACAAGAUAAGAAGGAGAAAACAGGGUUGCAGACGCCAUGUAGCUACCUUGAAAUCUCCAACAACCUCUGGAUCAGUUGAGGACCCUCACUCUACCACUCAGACACCUGGAUCUGCACACAAGGUACAGGGAGUAACGUGAAUACGUCAACUCAGUAAGUAGCUAAAGUAAAUAAGGUUUGAACGCAGUGACGAGCAUUUAAAAAUCAUAUAACUGAAUAAAUAACAGGAUAACAGGUCAACUUCACAGUUUAAAACUAGUUUCGUCGUAAAAUCAUCAAUUUCAAUUUAAACACUUGAAUUCAUACACUUAGAAAUUUUCUAAUAGAGCCUUAAUUUAAAAGAAGAGUGAAAUCAUUGAAAAACAUCAUAAUUGGGCCCCUCGGGCAAGGUAUCACUCAGAACAUAGCCUCUCGGGCAGCCUAUCAGUCACUCAUGACUCUCUCUCGCCACCCAAUAUUCACUCUCAGCACUCAGGCUCAUUAAUAUAUCAUAAUAAUAGAAAUCAUAGUAACCGCUGCGGCGUGUAGCCCGAUCAAUAAUUUAUAGUCAACUACACUUACUAGGGGGUGUACAGACUCCAGAAGGGCUCCUACAGCCCAAUCGUCAUAUCACUGCGUCAUGCAGCCUGAUUCAAUAUAUAUAUAUAUAUAUAUAUAUAUAUAUAUAUAUAUAUAUAUAUANNNNNNNNNNNNNNNNNNNNNNNNNNNNNNNNNNNNNNNNNNNNNNNNNNNNNNNNNNNNNNNNNNNNNNNNNNNNNNNNNNNNNNNNNNNNNNNNNNNNNNNNNNNNNNNNNNNNNNNNNNNNNNNNNNNNNNNNNNNNNNNNNNNNNNNNNNNNNNNNNNNNNNNNNNNNNNNNNNNNNNNNNNNNNNNNCUCACACAUAUAUAAAUAUCUUCACCAUUAAGUUCUCAACCGCUCUCGGUCAUUAACCUCACAACCUCUCGGGCAGGCACACAGUAAAAAUUAGGGUCCUUAGUCUGAACAGUCCUCACAUUUAGAAGUGGAGUGAUAGAACUAGUUUUAAACAUUUAAACAGGUAAAAUGUGACUAAGGUUAUGCUUUUAACAAGUAAAGUGAGAAAAAAUAGUAAAAAUUCCCCUAAGGGUCUCAACAGGUCGGCACAAGGCCCCAAACAUGGAAUACAGCCCAUAAUACAGUAUAAAUGACUAAAGUACAGAAUAAUAUAAGAUUCCAAAUCAAAUACGCGACUUAAUAGUCGCUACGAGACGGACCAAGUCACAAUCCCUACCGGUGCACGCUCACACGCUCGUCACCUAGCAUGUGCGUAACCGCAUUUAUCAAAACAAGUCAAAUAUCAGGGUUUUGUGACCUCAGUUCCAGAUUUACAAUGGUUACUUACCUCAAACCAAUGAAAUACUACUCUGUGACACCUUUGUCCCUCGAAUCAGCCUCGACUCACGUCGAAUCUAUCCAAAAUCAGAAUCACGGCGUCAAAAUAUGCUAAGGGAACGAAGCCCAAGAGAAAACAAUCAAAUAAUACCAAAAAUCACGAAAUUGGCAACAUCCGACCCCCGGGCCCAUGUCUCUAAACUCAAUAAAAAUCACAUCAACAGAAUCUUUAUCCUCCCACGAGUCCAUACAUACCAAGAAAACUGAAAUCAGAAUCCAAAUGACCACUCAAAUUCUCAUUUUAAAGCCUUUUAAUAUCAAGCCCUUAUUCCUCAAUUUUAGGCUUAGAUUCUAUGAUUUAUUAGGUAGAUUUCACAAUAGAAUCGAGUUUUAAGUCCAAAAUUCUUACCUCCAAGUGAUUCCCCUUGAAUCCAUCUUCAAUCUCCUUCAAAUAGCUCCAAAUGUUACCAACAAUGGAAGAAAUAAACCCCACAUUCGCGGACCAGACGACCUUUUAAACCUUCUGCCCAGGCCUGAAAUCCUUCUUCGCAAACGCGGUCAACGCUUCGCGUUCGCAAAACACAAAUUAAGUUUGACCAAUUUUCCUCUUUUACGAUCGCGACAUCCCCAUUGCGAACCCGAUUCUUUGUUCAGACCAACCUUCACGAUCACAUUCUACCUCUCACGAACGCGAUGAAUAAAAUCUAUAGAAGCUCAGCUGCCCUUUUUGCUCUAUGCGAAUGCGACACCUCCCCCGCGAAUGCGAUGCACAAACCCUUAGCCCUUCGCGAAUGCGUAGCCUUCCUCACGAACAUGAAGGCUUAAAUUCCACCUUCCUCAACUAAAUCUUCACGAACGCGAGGGUCUACUCGCAAACACGAAGAGUAAAAUACCUGCAACAGCUGAAACCAAAAUCUACAAUUUUCUUCAACUUAAAAUGAUCCGUUCAACGCUUCGAAACUCACCUGAGGCCCCCGGGACCUCAACCAAAGGCACAAACAUAUCCCAAAACCUUAUUCAAACUUGUACCAAUCUUCAAAACACCUCAAACAACAUCAAAUCAACCAAAACACAUAGGAUUCAAGCCUAAGUUUCCAAAAACUUCUAAAUUUCGCUUUUGAUAAAACAAAACCCGACCAAACCACGUCUGAAUGACUUGAAAUUUUGCACACACAUCCCAAAUGAUACAACGGAACUAUUUCAACUCUAGAAAUUCCAUUCCGACCCCUAUAUCAAAAUCUCACCUACCAACAGGAAAUCGCCAAAAAUCCAAUUUCGCCAAUUCAAGCCUAAAUCUACUCUGGACCUCCAAAACCCAUUCUGACCACGCUCUUAAGUCCCAAAUCACCUCCUAAAGCUAAUCGAACCAUCGGAACUCACAUUUGAGCCCUCUAACACAUAAGUCAACAUGUGGUUGACUUUUCUAACUUAACCUUCCUCAAAAAAGACUAAGUGUCUCAAACCUUACCAAAAUCAUUCUGGAUUCGAUCCGACCAACCCGAUACUACAUAACACGGAUAAACAAAGCAUAAAUAAGCAGAAAUAUGGAAAAUAGAGCGUUAACUCAAGAGACAACUGGUCGGGUCGUCACAACUUGCAUGAGGCUAAUCCUUGGCUCCAUACUUGCAUUAGGCUAAUCCUUGUCUCCUCACUUGCAUGAGGCUAAUCCUUGCCUUCAUACCUGCAUGAGGCUAAUCUUUCACACCUUCAUGAGGCUAAUCCCUCCCUCCCCCACUUGCAUAAGGUUAAUCCUUGCCUCCAUACUUGCAUGAGGCUAAUCCCUACCUCUAUACCUGCAUGAGGCUAAUCAUUGCCUCCUUAUUUGUAUAAGGCUAAUCCUGGCCUCCCCAUCUACAUGAGGCUAAUUUUUGCCUCCCCAUCUGCAUGGGACUAAGCACUGCCUCCCCACUUGCAUGAGGCUAAUCCUUGCCUCUAUACUUGCAUGAGGCUAAUCCUUGCCUCCAUACCUGCAUGAGGCUAAUCCUUGCCUCCUUAUUUGCAUAAGGCUAAUCCUUGCUUCCCAAUUUGCAUGAGGCUAAUCCCUGCCUCCCUAUAUGCAUGUGGCUAAUCCUUGCCUCCAUUCUUGCAUAAGGCUAAUCCUUGCCUUAACAUCUGCAUGAGGCUAAUCCUUGCCUCCGCAUUUACACGGGACUAAGCACUGUCCUAUUUCGCACAAAUCUUUCUCUAUUUCUAGCACUAUCUAUUUGUUUUUCAAUCAGGCUAAGCUCUGCCCUCCAUUUCACAAGAAUAAGCCUUGUCUUGUUAACAUCAUAUUGUUACAUAUCAUGGGCUGAAAUAUUGCCAAUCUAUCCAAAGGAGUCAUAGUCUAAAAGGCAUCAUCCUCAAAGCCUGAAGACACCAUGCCAUUUCCUGAAGAUCUCUCAAAUUUGCAUAUAAUUAUUCAAAGGCGUCAUUGUUUGGAGGCACCAUCUUCAUGGAUCAAGAACACCAUUUCAUGGCCUACGAAUCCCCCAUUAAAUAGUUCAUAGCCCUGGACAUCAUUGGUCGGAGGACGUCAUCUUUAACCGUCCAAAGACAACCUUCAUGGUCCAAAGGGAAUCUGCAUCAUGUUUAAUUUUUUGUUCAAAUACAUGUUCGUAGCAUCUUUUAUCUGCAGGUGACCAGUAAGAAACCGUUAUCCUAGUAGGAGUGACCUCACUCCAGUUCUUUCAACUAUCUCAAACCUUAACCGCUCAUCAUAGCCAAUUUUGCAUCCCGUGUCCGUUCUUGCAAUGACUUCAUCAGUAUAUUCUGCCAAUGAAUCUAGAAAUACACAUGGCUUGAUUCCUGUAAGAACAGAUUCCGGCCUCUAUCUUUCAAAAUAACCCAUCCAGUCAAAAUUGGCCAUCAUUUCUUUAUCCGAAAACUCUUUCAUCCUUCCCCAGUAAAGAGGGAUAGUUGUUGAUAGCCAAUUUAUCCUUAUAAUUUUUUUUAAAUAUAUAUAUCUUCAAAAUAGCAUAUAUAUGCAUAUAUAAGCAUGCAUGAGUAUUUUUAUAAUUUUUCUAUAAUUUUAAAGGCUUCAAAUUGAUUUAUUUCUUCCCCUUUUACUUAUAAAAUUUUCAAUAAUUAUCCUUUAAAUUAUUUUUUGGAGAUUUAGUCAUCUAAAUUCUAUAUUUAUGCUAAAAUAUUGUUUAAAUAUUUUUAGUAUAUUUUAAUAAUUGCAUUUACAUUUUUAAGCUAAUUUACAUAUAUUUGCAAUACUAGCCGUAUUAAUGCAUAAUUGCAUUAUUAAUGCAUAAAAUGGUCUUUUAUAUUUUUAAAAUGUUAAAAAACUAUUUCUAAUCAUUUUAGUAUACAAAAUUAUUUUUUCAGAAAUUAUUUAUUAUAUCUUAUAAAUUAUAUACUAUUAAAUGGCUAUUUAAAUAUAGCCUAGUUUUAUUUCAAUUUAGCCCAAAUCCAACCCCAAUACUAGCCCAAUUUUUAAACCUAAAUAUACCCAGGCCCAAUACCAAUCUGCCCAACCCAAAUACUCGGCCAAAUCUUGGUCAUUGAUCAAGGUCCAUGUUUUCCCUUUCCUUAAUUAAACAAACCUAUACCACAGAAGCCUAAUUCAUUUUUCACCUUAUAUCAUCGUCACCUAAUCCUCUCUGCUCUCAAACACUCUCAACCUAAACCCUAAUCUCUAAAUGUCGUCACUCAUCUAUGACGGUCUCCGGUGACCUCUCACCACCUCUCAAGCCUCCAAUGGCUUCCCUCACAUCAUUCUUUCCAUCUCCAGGGCCCUCAAGGGAACAGGGUUAGCGACUUGCACCUAUGGCUCCUCCCUCGCCUAUUUUAGGCCAUUCCGGUAAGAUUCUAAGUGAGAUCGUCCUAUAUUGACUUCGAUCUAUGAUUUUCUAAACAGGUUCCUUCACCUCUCUAUGGUUUUCUUCGAAACCCUAAUUUCUUUUCUAAACUUCUUAGAUCUAUACAGAUCUAAGAUGAUUUGAGUUUGUUUCAUGUGAGUUUUACAACAGCCUUGGGAUUCUUUACAAGAAUAGAGUGAUUUUCAAGCGAUUUUCAUCUUUUCCUUCAACUAGGUUUCCGAAAUUUCUUUUAAAAAUUGUUUGAUGAUUUUUUGUGUUUAAACUUCCACUUCUCAUAUAUUUUUGACCAAUUAGCCCAUUUGUACUGAAAGCCCUAAUUUUCUAGGUUUUUCGUUUGGUUUCUGAGUACUAGUGCAUCUAAAUGUAUUCUUGCUUUGGGUUCUUCUGAUUUCCUGUGAUUUUCUUGUCCUAAUAUGCUUCUACUAAAUUUCUUAGUUCGACCUUUCACUGAUUUUAUAUGCUUGUGCUCGUUCCAACUAUUCAUGCUAAGACUUGUAUAUUUCUCCUUCAAUUAGUGUCGUUUAAUUAUGUGUUUUUUUAAAGCUAUGUGAAAUGCUGACUAUCCAUGUUAUACCUUAUUUUAUAUGCUGACUCUUUCAUGGCUUUCUGAAUCCUUGAUUACUCUGAAUCCCUUAUUUCCUAGUUUAAUUUUAACACUUUCCUUUAAACGUUUGAUUCUUACCUCUUUACUCAAUUUGAUUGAAUUUGCUUGCCUUAAUUAUUUUUCCUGCCUUAUUUGUAUUCCACUGGUUAUUGCUGAUUUAUUUCCUUAAUUAAAUGAUGUUCAUUUACACCUAAUUACCUAUUCUAUACCUAAAAUUUACUUGAUUCUUUUUCUUAAAUACUAAGCAAGUUUUACCGUUGAUCUAAUUGUCCCUUGAUUGAGGGAAUAUCUUGUUGAUUAACAUGUGACUUCCUUGAUUUUUUCUACUUAAUUGAAUUCUUACCUUAUUUGUUAAGUUUUUGAUUACUAUAUAACCCCCCCCCCCCCUUAUUCUAAGUUCUGAACAACAACAAGACUAGUUCCAAAACUCUCUCUUAUACUUAAAGCUUUCUGCUCUUUUCUGUUACUUGCUACUUCCAUUGAACUAGCCGGCUGUGAGCCAAGGCUAGUUAUUGCACUACACUUCUCUAUACUAUGUGUUCUCUUACUGUAUUAGUUUACUGAUUCUUGUCUAUCACUUGGCUUUUUCUAUAUGCAACUAGCAUGCUUAAAUCCUGGUUUCACUUAGCAUAUAUGAAACUACCUAUUCAACUUAUGAUUAACAUGUCUGAUAACUUUAUUGCUUUCUCUAGCAUGUCUCAAAUUAACUCUACUCCAUGUAUGUAUGUUUGAUUAUCUGUAUGUUUGUUUACCCAAUUCCUGAUAGUAAUCUACUUUGCUAGGUUACUUAAUACUCCCUAAGUACUUCUGACCCUAUGUUCAAAUUCUGCCUAGUAUAAGUAUGUUCUCCACUAUUUGAUUGACUCCUAAAUCCUAUAAAGAACUCUGAAAAAAGAAACUUCUGUGCUCUUGUUCUUACAUUAAUAUGUCCUAUGUGACCCCAGUUCCCAUACUCCCUGAAUGAAAUCUGUGUCUGAAUGGUGUUGUUUAAACUGUUUGCUGAUUUCUCAUAAUUUCACUAUUUUCAAAACUGUUUUAUUACUAAUCAAUUCCUAUUUUUCAUAAAACUUGUUUACUUAAUUGAGCCCUUUCUAACAUUGUUUUUCAUAUCAAUACCAUUUCAAAACUAUGUCAAGCACUCUCACAUUACUCCUAGAAUAUUAGGUUCUGCCCCUCUGGCAUGUGCACUGCCUUGAGAUCCUUGAGAUCUCUCUGAACUAUGGCAUGUCAGAGCUAGCCUUCUCACACUACACCUAAAUCAGUUACUGUUUGAGAAAGUCUAGGUGUGAGCAUUACCCGGGAUCCUUGAGAUCCUUAGGGAACUUUGAUACACCUAAACAUAAUACUGCCCAUGGAACUUUAGCAUUUGAGGCUAUUGGAGGCUUGGAAGUCAUUUGGGCCUACUCCAGGCUCCCUAUAGAUAACUUCUUCUUUUCUUUAUUUGUUUGUGUAAUUUAUUCAUCUGGUCUGUAAUAAUUAUUUAUAAACAACAUUGGGGUGAUUAGUGAAAAGGGGUGGGUAGUUACAUAUCUGUUGGGUAACUCGGGUAGAUACCAUGCCUAUGGGAUUGUGUUAAUUCACUUGCUAUGUUUUCUUUACUUUCAUAAUAUUAGAAAUCAUGUCUGUAGGAUCUAAAUAGCUUCAAUAGUAGAAAUCAUGCUUAUAGGAUCUAAAUGACUUCAUAAUUAGAUAUCAUGCCUAUAGAGUGUAAAGUAUUUGAGUUCAGUUUCUAUUACAGCAUGUGAAAUCAUGCCUAUAAUUUCGAAAAUCAGCUCUUAACAAUUAGAUACCAUACCUAUAGGAAUAAAAAUCAGAAUUCCUGCCUGUAGAACUUAAAAUCAGUUUAGUUAACAAAUCAGUUUAAUCCAUGUUAAGUUCAUUCUGAAUUGGUUUAAUCAAUUGUCCGCUUCUUUAAAUGAGUUUUCAAACAUUGCCCUAAAUUAAUACCACUAGAAAGCAUGUCAAUAGGAUCCCCAAGUGUCUAUUUAAAAUCUAUUCACUGUUUUACUGCAUCAAUGUAGAUAUUAUGCUCUUAGGAUAUCAUUGUUCUGCUUUUAGGCAAGCCUAUAGGGCGAUUUAAAUCUUGUAACUCUGAAACUAUGCUUUGUCAUUUAAAACUGUUCAGAUUUAACAGGUCCAAAUCAGUAGGGAAUCCAAAUAGGAUUUUGACACUUUGUCCUAGCUCAAUAUUGUAUAAUCCCUGCUCACCUAGAUAUAAUGUUCUAGGAUUUUCUCUUAAAUACUCGACUGUUGACGUGCAUUUACUUGUUAUAUUUGUGGAGGUGACUGUGAGCCUGUAAUUUGUUCUCUUUAAAUGUCGUCCUACUUGUUCUUGAUUGACGCCUAGACUCUUAUCUUUUAAAACCUUAGAAAGGUGUAGAACUAUCCGAAAGUAGAGGUCCUAAAAUACCUCCAGGGCCACAAGGAAGGGACGGGUAGUGCACGCAUAGGACAUUUUCAAGGUUGCUAGAACGCUUUAGGCUAUGACCAAGGGGAAGGACUUGGGUAGAAAAGGAUAUGAUGACUACGCGCUAAUGUCACAUGUAGCCCCUCAUUGAGGAGUGUUUAUCGGGCAUUGUGUGGGGUGAUCCUAUAGGCUAACCAACCUAGGACCCCUCUUUCCCAAUUCCCGAUGUUUAAACCUUACUCUCUUAUAUGCAACUUGUUCAAAUUCUUUGAGUCAUACAGUGUCCCAACAUGCCCUUAUUUGCAACUAUGUGUUUAACUAUUUAUUUGUUAAAGGACUAAUUCAUAAGUAUAAGUUCGGUCGGGACCCACCGUUGUAGACCAAUAGGGGUUCCUAACACCUUCCCCUUAAGGUUAUUUCGAGCCCUUACCCUAAUUCUCUGGUAAUGCAAACUAGUCUAAGAGUUAAUCACCUUAGGUGCCCUAACGCACCAUAAUUUGUUAGGUGGCAACUCUUCAAAAUACCCAAUUCCCAAAAGGAAUUGAUUUAUUACCCCCAUGAAUGUUGAAACUCAGACUUCUCUCUCUCUCUCUCUGCGGAGGGAAAAAAAGGGGGCGCGACAUGUACCAUCUCUAUUUGCUCAUUUCCUGGAUAUUCCUCGUGAGUCCUUGGGUACUCCCAUUUAUGUGUCCACUCUUGUGGGCAAUUUUGUGGUUUUAGAUUAAUUCUAUUAGUCCUGUGUGGUCAUAUUCUGUGGUUACAAGACUAGAGCGGACCAUCUGUUACUUGACAUGACUGACUUUAAGGUCAUCCUGGACAUGGACUGGUUAUCCCCAUAUCACGCCAUCCUCGAUUGACAUGCCAAGAUUGUUACUUUGGCGAUGCCAGAGUUGCCGAGAUUAGAGUGGAAGGGUUCCUCCUUUAGUACAGCUAGUCGAGUCAUCUCUUUUUUUAGGGCUUGAUAUAUGGCCGAGAAGGGUUGUUUGGCUUAUCUAGCUUAUGUUUGGGUCACUACCCCAGAGUCUCCGAUGAUUGAUUCAGUGCCAGUAGUUCGGGAAUUUUCGGAUGUUUUUCCUUCUAACCUUCCAGGCAUGCCACCAGAUCGUGACAUUGAUUUUUAUAUUGAUUUGGCUCUAGGUACCCAGCCUAUAUAUAUCCCACUACACCAUAUGGCUCUGAAGGAUUUGAGGCAAUUGAAGAAGCAGCUUGAGGAGUUGCUAGCAAAAGGGUUUGUCAGACCAAGUGUAUCGCCUUGAGGUGCACCAGUGUUAUUUGUGAAGAAGAAAGAUGAGACUAUGCGGAUAUGCAUUGAUUACCUCCAGUUUAACAAAGUUACCAUCAAGAACAAGUACUUAUUGUCGUGUAUUGGUGAUUUUUUUGACCAACUGCAAGGUACUAGGGUGUUCUCUAAGAUCGACUUGAGGUCAGGUUAUCAUCAGUUGAAGAUUCGGGACUCAGAUGUUCUGAAGACUACUUUUCGUACUAGAUAUGGCCAUUAUGAGUUUUUGGUGAUGUCCUUCGGCUUGACCAAUGCCCCAGCAACAUUUAUUGAUUUGAUGAAUAGAGUGUUUAGGCCUUAUAUUGAUUCAUUUGUCAUUGUCUUCAUUGAUGACAUCUUGAUCUACUCACAAAGCCUGGGGGAGCACGAGCAGCAUUUGAGAGUGGUGCUUCAGACCUUGAGGAAACAGAAGUUAUAUGUUAAGUUCUCCAAGUGUGAGUUUUGGCUAGAGUCUGUGGCAUUCUUGGGGCAUGUUGUAUUAGGCGAGGGUAUUAAGGUGGAUCACAAGAAAAUUGAGGAAGUUCAGAGUUGGCCUCGUCCUACUUUAGCGACUGAGAUCAGGAGUUUCCUGGGGUUAGAAGGUUAUUAUUGCCAGUUUGUGAGGGGUUUUUCAUCCAUUGCAGCACCUUUGACAAGAAUUGACCCAAAAGGGUGCUGCAUUCCGUUGGUCGUAUGAUUGUAAGGCGAGCUUUCAAAAGCUCAAGACAGCUUUGAUUAUAGCAUCAAUUCUAGUGUUUCUUUCCAGUUCGGGGAUGUAUAUGGUGUAUUUCGAUGCUUCACGCAUUGGCUUAGGUUGUGUAUUAAUGCAGGAGGGGCGAGUUAUUUCAUAUGCUUCACGUCAACUAAAGAUUUAUGAGAAGAAUUACCCUGUGCACGAUAUAGAGUUAGCUGCGAUUGUCCAUGCUCUUAAGAUCUAGAGGCAUUAUCUUUAUGGGGUGUCAUCUGAGAUUUACACCGAUCAUCGCAGCUUAAAACAUGUGUUCAAGCAAAGGGAUCUAAAUUUGAGGUCGCGCAGAUGGCUUAAGUUACUGAAGGAUUAUGACAUCACUAUUCUUUAUCAUCUGGGCAAAGCGAAUGUAGUCGGGGAUUCCUUGAGUAGAAAGGCGAAGAGUAUGGGUAGAUUGGUUUUCAUUUCAGCAGAGGAGAGGCCACUAGCCUUGAACAUUCAGUCCAUGGCUAACAGACUUGUGAGGUUGGAUAUUUUAGAGCCAAGUCAAGUUCUUGCAUGUGUUGUUGCACAGUCUUCACUAUUGUAGCAGAUCAAGGCUUGCCAGUUUGAUGAUCCGCACUUGGUAGUCUCAGAGAGACUGUGCUACAGGGUGGUGCCAAGGAGGUUUCUAUUGGUGAGGAUGGUGUUCUAUGACUCUAGGGUCAUCAAUGUGUUCCUAAUGUCGUUGGCUUAAGAGAGGAUUCUAGAAGUGGCACGCAUUUCUCUAUAUUCCAUUCAUCCAGGUGCUACGAAGAUGUAUUAUGAACUGAGACAGCAUUAUUGGUGGCGGUAGAUGAAGAAAUACAUAGUUGAGUAUGUAAUUAGGUGCCUAAAUUACCAGCAGGUCAAGUAUGAGCACCAGAGGCCAGGUGUCCUACUUCAGCAGAUGACUAUACCUUAGUGGAAAUAGGAGCGCAUUACUACGGAAUUCGUAGUUGGAUUGCCGCGGACCUUGCAAAAGUUUGAUGCAGUUUGGGUCAUUGUCGACAGGUUGACAAAGUCGGCACACUUCUUUCCGAUUGAGACUACAUAUACUUCAGAGAAGUCAUCCCAGAUUUAUAUUCGGGAGAUAGUUCGGUUUUAUGGUGUGUCUGUUUCCAUCAUAUCAGAUAGAGGGCUUCAGUUCACUUCACAUUUUUGGAGAGUCGUUCAGAGUGAGUUGGGAACCUGUGUAGAGCUCAGCACUGCGUUUCAGCCACAUACCGAUGGGCAGUCAUAACGGACAGUUCAGAUCUUGGAGGACAUGCUCAGGGCAUGUGUGAUUGACUUUGGGGGACAAUGGAAUCAGUUCUUACAUCUGGCUCGGGUUUGCUUACAACAACAAUUAUCAGUCCAGUAUCGAGAUGGCUCCAUUUGAGGCUUUAUAUGGUCGACGAUGUCGUUCUCCCAUCAGGUGGUUUGAGCCCGGCGAGGCUAAAUUAUAUGGUAUUGAAUUGGUGAUAGAUGACUUGGAAAAUGUAAAGUUAAUUCAGGAGCGACUUCGCACAGCACACUCCAGACAGAAGAGUUAGGUGGAUCAGAAGGCACGUGAUGUAUCAUUUAUGGUAGGCGAGAAGGUUCUCUUGAAAGUCUUGCCGAUGAAGGGUAUCAUGAGAUUCGGGAAGAAGGACAAGCUGAGCCAAAGGUUUAUAGGACCAUUUGAGGUGUUGAGGCGGGUUGGGGAGGUUGCUUAUGAGUUUGCUUUACCUCCCACCUUAUCAGGUGUUCAUCCGGAUUUUCAUGUGUCUAAGCUCUAGAGGUAUCAUGCCGACUUGUUGCAUGUGUUAGACUUCAGCACUAUUCAGCUAGAUGAAAGCUUGGGUUAUGAGGAUGAUCCAGAUACCAUUGUUGCUAGACAUGAUAACAGCCGAAUCAAAGAGGAUUUCCACGGUAAAGGUUUAGUGGAAGAGCAACCAAUUGAGGAGUUGACCUGUGAAUCCAAAAAGGACAUGCGGAGCAGAUAUCCACACUUAUUCAGCACUUCAGGUUUUAAUCUAGACCCGUUCGAGGAGGAACGUUUGUUUAAGAUGUGGAGCAUAUAAUGAUCCAACCGGUCGUUUUUCUUUCUAGAACCUCGUUCCCCUAAAUGAGACUUCCCAUACUUGUUUUUACUGAUUUAUGACUUGCGAGGAUGGUUAGUUCGGGAUUUGGAAGAGUUCGGGUUGAAAUAGGAACACUUGGUUCAUUAAGUUGGGCUUAAAAGGCCAAGUUUGACUUCGCUCAACAUUUUUAGUAAACAACCUCGAAAUUGGGAUUUGACAAUUCCAAUAGGUUCGUAUGAUGAUUUCAGACUUGGGCAUAUGUUCGGAUCGGAUUUUGGAUGACCCGGGAGCAUUUUGGUGCCUAAUAGUGAAAGUUGGUUCUUGAAGGUUUUAGAAGUUCUUUAAAUUUGGUUUGGAGAUGGUUUUGGUGAAAUCGAGGUCCAAACGGAAUUCCAAGACCGGUAGUAGUUUCGUAAUGUCAUUUAAGACUUUCACGCAAAAUUUGGUGUCAUUCCGAGUAGUAUAAGUACAUUUCGGCGCUUACCAUCACCUUACGGUACCCGUAUGGGUUUUUACCAAUAAAACUCUCUCAUUUUAUUUCUCUCAUUUUGUUGUAUCAGAUCCAAGUAACUAUAUCCUUCCAUUUUGAACCUCUUUGCCGAUUGAUCAGAAGGAUCUGAACAGUUUUGGGUAAAAGGAUUUAGAUUGAGUUACAACUUUGGAACCUUUCGGGCGAAACCAUCGCCAAACCAUUAUAACAUCUGCCCCAGUUUCACUUUUAGGGGAAUUUGGAUUUUAUUUUGGUGUGACUAAACCCCAGAGAGAGGCUGCCUACGUAUCCUUUCGGAAUCAAGUUGAACGUAGUUCAGGGAACUUUAUUUUUGUUUUUCUUUUCUUUUGUUUUUUCUUCUGUUUUGUUUGUUUAUUUUUUUCUUUCCUUUUUCGUCUUUUUUUUCUCAUCAAUUCAUUUUCUUUGUCUUUUCUUCCCCUUUUUGUAUCUUUCUUUUUCUUCUCUUUUCAUCUUUUUUUCAUUUUUUAUUUUAUUUUUUAAUUUUUUUCAAUAACACUUUCAGGUUCCAAAGUGGGUAAUCAAAUAGGAGUAACCAGCUCAAAGGGUUUGCAAAGGGUUGAAUAUUUUGAUAGUGAGAUAGAAAGCCUUCUUCAUCCCCACCAGAAAACAUUAAUGUUAUAUAGAGGAUCCAACAUAGUACCUUUUGACUGCAUUUGCACUGACAGUUGUUUCAAGGACAUUUCCUUCGAUGUGUCCCAAGUACGACGCACUCUUUUGGUAGUACUCUUGUUGUAAUGUAUGUACCUUUCCAAUAUGGAACCAAUUUUCCUUCAGAUGUUCUGAAUCUUAAUUUUAUUUCCUUAAAAAUUAUCUUCAUUGCGAUCAAAUUUUUGAUUCAUUAUUUCGGGGUUUGACAGCUUUCAGGAUCUGGGCAUAUAGUCCAAAAGCAUGUAAUGUUAUUGAAAUCCGCAUUUAACAGAAUUGAAAAUACAAUAAGAAAAAUGACAAGAUUAAGAAAAGAGACAUUCCUGGACAAUGAAAUAUUAAUUUCAUUUGAUUUUUGAUUUUUUGAUUUUUUUUAAUUUUUGAAGAUAGAAGGGUUUACAUCAGAAAGUAAGACAAUAAAGUAAACCAUCAGGAUCACACCCUAAGAUAAUCCGAACGCAGAAAGAAUAGCAAGACUGGCUACUAAGACUCCCGUCUGAUGGGGAACUUUCAUGCUUGGCGACAAUUUUUUGGCUUUAUUUCUGUCUCGGCAAUGGUUGCAAUAGCCUUCAGUGUCGGAUCAAAUUCCUCAUCUUCACAAAUUAUUCCGACUAUUGACCCGCUGUUAUGGGUAGGCAACAUAUUGUUCAUCACAUCAGGAUCUUCUUUAUACUGAAAAAUAAUUCUUUCAGCUUCAAUCAAAUCAAUCAAAUCUUCAACUGCCCUUUUGAGGGUCCAACAGUCCUCUGUACUAUGUCCACAGCUCCAGAGUGGUAUUCACAUCUAGCAUCAGCUCGGUGUGACAGGGACUCGGGGUUUGGCCGGUUCGGGGCCACUAGCUGUAAUAGAUUUAGCCUGAUUAGCCUUUGGAACAAGCUUAAAUACGAUUCACUAAUAGGGGUGAACUGAUUCUUUCUGAAAGGCUCUCUUGGGUGACGAUUGUACUGGGAACAUUUGGUUGGGGAUUAUAUGGAGCUUGGUAAGGAUAGGCAUUUAUGGGAGGUGGAGCUCAGUUUUGUGUAUGAUGUUAUGUGUAAGGUAGCAGCAUCUUGAAGGGGAUAAUAGUGUUGAGGGACCUCAGGAAGCAUAUAUGAUUGACUGAAUGACUACAACCCCCCACCCCCUCCCUUCGAACUGGAAACUAUCAUGGCUCCUUCCUCUCUCCCAUUUCCAUUUAUCAAACCCUCUUUACCGUUUUGAACAUCUGGUGAUUUGGCUUUAAAAGCAGCAUGACACAAGAUUCGACUCGUUUUUAGCCCACUUUCUACCAUCUCCCCAAUUUUGAUAGCCUCAGCAAACAGCUUUCCAAUAGCAAACAUCAUGUUUUGGAAGUAGUCCGCCUCUUGGUCCUAUAGAAAUACCAUGACCAUUUCAAUUUCGUCCAUUGGAGGCUUUACCCUGGCAGCUUGCUCACGCCAUUUGACAGCAUAUUCGCGGAAGUUUUCCGCGAUUUUCUUUUUCAAAUUUGACAAAGAGUUCCUGUCAGGAGCGAUAUCCACAUUAUACUGGAAUUGGCGGACAAAAUCUCGGUCCAUAUCACCUCACAUGUGCCGAUGAGUAACUUUUUGAUCUGUAUAUCUUUCAGAAGCGAUUCCGGUGAGCCUUUCCCCAAAAUAGGCCAUUAGCAGCUCCUCUUUUCCACCAGCACCCCUCAACUGGUUACAGUAUCGUUUCAGGUGAGCGAACGAGUUCCAUGCCCGUCGCACUUUUCAAAUUUUGGCAUCUUGAAGCCAGCUGGCAAGUGGACAUGGGGAAACAAACAGAGGUCAGAGUAUGAGACACUCUUUUGGCCACUCAGACCUUGUAUGUUUUUCAGGCUUUGUUCCAGACUCUUCAUCUUCCGAGCCAUUUCUUCUUGCUUAGGAUUUUUAACCAUCUUUUCUUGCUCCACCGAGAGAUAAUAUUGCGGAGGUUGAGUGAAGGAGUACGGGGUCACAUAUGUUAUUUCUGGUUGAAGUUGUGCACCCUAAAAGAUGAACAUUGGAGGCGGUGCCCUUGAAGCCAGUGCGCGGGGGCGAACCACAGAAGGCAUCCUAGGAUCAUUGGAGGGAAUUGGAGGGUACCCACCUGGGGUGAGCGGGUUGGGCACAGGGGCGUUGGUAACCUCACCUGACCGGGAGAUCAACUCAGGAAUUACACAUGGCGGUUCCCUACCAUUGGACCAGGCGACCCACAUUUCCGACAUGCGGAGACACAACAUCCUAUUCUCUUCAGCAACUGCUGAUUCUAGUUGUGGAAUAGCUGGUGCUAGGCUAUCCUCAAGAUCGAUGAUUUGUAGAUGCCUUUCAGAGACCAUAGGAACCUUUACUUUGGAUCUUGUGAAGUAAGGAUGGGAAUCCAGAUUACCAACAAAACCAACCACCUGAACAGAACCUGGCUAAUUUGCACACCCAACAACCUUGUUAGUUUUGAGACGCUUAACAGAUAGGAAAUCGCAUAUUGGGAUGCAAUGCACCUAAAUAGUUAAACGUUUCUACUAUGUGUUUAAACGAGUUACAUGUUUCAUCCCGGCCUUAAUUACCCCUUUUCACUUUGUACCUCUUUUCUUUCAUUUAUGUUUUUCUUCAACCGCUCUUGAUUUUCUCAUUUUGUUUAUGUCGCUCUUUUAUUUUUGGCACUCUCUUUUUCUCUAAUUAUUUUUGUCACUCUUUUAUUUUUGUCGCUCCCUUUUCUUUUUCUUUUUCUUUUUUUUUCUUUUUCUUUUUCUUUUUCUUUUUCUUUUUUCCUCUUUUCUUUCUUUUUUCNNNNNNNNNNNNNNNNNNNNNNNNNNNNNNNNNNNNNNNNNNNNNNNNNNNNNNNNNNNNNNNNNNNNNNNNNNNNNNNNNNNNNNNNNNNNNNNNNNNNNNNNNNNNNNNNNNNNNNNNNNNNNNNNNNNNNNNNNNNNNNNNNNNNNNNNNNNNNNNNNNNNNNNNNNNNNNNNNNNNNNNNNNNNNNNNNNNNNNNNNNNNNNNNNNNNNNNNNNNNNNNNNNNNNNNNNNNNNNNNNNNNNNNNNNNNNNNNNNNNNNNNNNNNNNNNNNNNNNNNNNNNNNNNNNNNNNNNNNNNNNNNNNNNNNNNNNNNNNNNNNNNNNNNNNNNNNNNNNNNNNNNNNNNNNNNNNNNNNNNNNNNNNNNNNNNNNNNNNNNNNNNNNNNNNNNNNNNNNNNNNNNNNNNNNNNNNNNNNNNNNNNNNNNNNNNNNNNNNNNNNNNNNNNNNNNNNNNNNNNNNNNNNNNNNNNNNNNNNNNNNNNNNNNNNNNNNNNNNNNNNNNNNNNNNNNNNNNNNNNNNNNNNNNNNNNNNNNNNNNNNNNNNNNNNNNNNNNNNNNNNNNNNNNNNNNNNNNNNNNNNNNNNNNNNNNNNNNNNNNNNNNNNNNNNNNNNNNNNNNNNNNNNNNNNNNNNNNNNNNNNNNNNNNNNNNNNNNNNNNNNNNNNNNNNNNNNNNNNNNNNNAGUUUUGGACUUCAAUUUUUUAAAAAUAUUAUUUUAUAUUUUUUGAAAGAAAGAUGUUUAAACAAUGAAUUUUUUUUUAUUCUUUCUUUUUUUCUGAUUUUGUUUUUGAAUUUUUGGGAAAAGCCUUCUUAAAAAGGUAGAAAAAAAUAUUAUUUUUUUUUUUUGGAUUUUGAUUUGACAUGUGGAUUUUUGAAAGAACUUUUAAGAAAAUAUUUCGGAUUUCUGAGUUUCUCUUUUUUUCUUUUUUAAUUUACGAAAGAACUUUUAAAGGAAAGCGAAAAUAUAUUUGGACUUUUAUUUCUCAAUUUUUAUGGACAUUUACAAAAGAAAGACUUCUAAAGAAGAAAAGAGUAUUUUUGGAUAUUUUUUCGGAAUUAUUUUUGAAAAAUAUUUCAAAAUUAAGGAAACCCGUAUUUUGGAUUUUGAUUUUUGAUUGAUUUUUAUUUUUAUUUCUCUUUUUUCCAUAUGAAAAGGAAACUAUUUUUUUGUUUUGAGUUUAAAAAUCUUUAUUUUGAAUUUUCUAGGAAAAUGCUUCUAAAGAAGGAAUUAAGGGAAAAAUUUUGGAUUUUUGAAAAUUGGGGUCAGAACCAAUGAGGUUUGCCUACGUAUCUCACAUCCGGUGAGAAUCAGACCCGCGUCAUUCGGUCAAUUUUGACGGAACAAGGGAAACAUGGCACUUGAAAAUUUUGGCUCAUUUUGAAAUGACUUUUUUUUUUCUUUUUUUUCAGAAUUUCGGCAGAGUUUCAGGAUUUUCAAAUACCUACCUCACUCUUUUUUUUCUUUUUUUUUUUGAUUUUUUCCCUAUUCUAAAAGCCGGUCAACAUGCAAGCCGAAUAAAAUAAAUGCGCAAAUAGCACGUAAGAUGCAUCAGGAUGGUCUUUUUAUCUUGGGUACACCUGUCCUAGACGGACCCAACCCCUGUGUUGGGUCCCCAAAGUCAAAUACACAUGAUGCAAACAAGUGUUCCUACUAGUGAUACGGCAUGAGGCUGUGUUAUUCUAGGUUUAAAACCUGGGUGUAUUGUUCUAGACCUGGCUUACCCAAGCGGACAACUCGAGCCGAGGGGGCAACGUACCGGUAACCAAAAGAUCAUCCGAUUUUGCUACUUGUCCGAACCUAGUUCUAAAUUAGGGUAUGACACUAACAGAAAAGAAGUCACGAAAGCAUGCACUUCCCAGAAUAUUAGAAGAGAAGGAUUUCGCAACAGUUUAUAUACAGUUCAAAUAAUAUCAAAGCAGUAAAAAGCGGCAUUUAGCACAACAGGCCCAAACAUAUAAAAAUCAGAUAAUAAAUAAUGCCAAGCAUAACAGUUAUUCUAAGCUCGAAUUCAUGAACCCUGAAACGGAAGUUCGAGGUUUUUAUUCCACACCAGAGUCGCUAGAGCUGUCACGCCUCCUUUUUCCCACCCGAGGGGGAGUAUAAGAAAGUUUUUCCAAUUAAAGUGACAUUAUUCAAUAUGGGAUUAUUUAUUUAUUUUUCAGAGUUGCCACUUGGAAUAGUUUAUUUGGUGUCCCAAGUCACCAGUUUAUUUUAAAAAUUCCAAAUCGAGGAAAAUCGAUUUUUAUUUAAAAGUUUGCGAAACCAGAAAACUAGGUAAGUAAUUCUGUUAACCCGGGAGAAGGUGUUACGCAUUCUCGGGUUCUGUGGUUCGAGCACGAUCGCUUAACUAUUAAUAAUUGGCCUAAUUUUCUGAUUUGUUACAUGUUUUAAACAUAUUGUGCAUUUUUAACUUUUUAAACCGCUUUUUAGGAUUUAUGAAAUUAUUUCUUGAACAAGUUACGAUUGUCGUACACUUGCCAUUUUGGAACACAUUGCAAACCACGCUACAUAAAAUGCACCCGCGAUUUGCGACAUGUUUAUUUUAUUAAUAGUUCGAAGUUGUUAUGAUCGGGUCACGUGAAAUCCACACCCGAAUUUGGGAUUAGGUAUCACAACUAUGUCACGGGAACUUUACCCGUAGCUACAAGGAUUUUUCUAUAAACUCGCCUAAAGCAAACUAUGAAUGUUCAAAAUAAUUUUUUUACACUAGGUUAUAAUAUUAAUGUGAGGGCAAUAGAUUAGAUGAUUCAAUUAUGAAUGUAAACAGCCUCUCUGCCCCUUGGGGUAGGGGUAAGGUCUGCGUACAUAUUACCCUCUCCAGACCCCACUUGUGGGAUUAUACUGGGUCGUUGUUGUUGUUGUAUAUUUCACUAAAGAAAAAUAAGGAUGCCCCUAUUUAAAUCUAAUUUGAAAUUAGGUAUCACAACUACGCCAUGGUAACCGUACCCGUAGUUGUAAUGAUUUAAUUGCGUGCCUAAAGUAAACUACGGUGUUCGAAAUUAUUUCUUUUCCUAAAUUUGAGGUUAUUGCAAGGCCAUAGCUUAUUUAUCUAUUUUUUAAGAUUGUACAUCCAAGAUACUGUCAACAAUCCAAACUUUCAUAUACAACACUAAAAUUAUGGCACAUAUAGACUACAAUGACAAUAUCCAUAGUGUGAGGAUUCAUCAAGAAAAUGACUAGUUUCGCAUGAAAAAAAAACAAACAAAGUCACCAAAAAAGAAUAACUAUAAGUGAACGAUUGCUACAACAGGUACAUUAAUGCAAACAAAGCUUCUUUCUUACCAAGGAGGAAAAAUACAAAGUAAUAAAGAGAUACAGGACUGCUUUCCAUUAUCCAAUUUGAGUAUUCAUACGUGACAUCUUGUUCCUUAGUCCUAAAGACUCUCAUGCUGAAGAAAAGGACAAAUACAUAAGGAGACACUCAAUUGACCCUAACACAUAUCUAGGAGGCAAAGGUCAAUUUAAUUAUCUCUAUGUGCAUAUUCAUUGGACUCUAUGGCCAAAGAUACAGUGAUGUAGAGCCAAAAAACCAAUUUCUUUUGCCAAAUGACGGUGGUUAACUGCAUACGCGUACAUCUACCCAACAUAUAAUGGCCUUUUAUUUCCUUGUUUCGUACACCCAUUUAAAGGAAAAAAGCAACACAAAUGUUCAGCUAUUAAUGAUUUUGCUAACCAUAACAGAUGAAUCAACUAAACUAUUACAUCUCCUUUUCCAAACUAUCCUUACAAGAAUUAAUAAUUAACAAAAAUGAUUCUCACACUUUGAACAUGAAAUUGACUUAAAUGAAUCAACCAUUAUACAAAUAGUCAUUUUUAAUAAUUCAAAUGAAAGCACAAUACAAGGGAGUUUGGAACUUACCUAGCUGAAGCAGCAAAUACACUAUAAAUAGGCCAAAUUAAGGUAGAAUUCUAAAUCUGGUUACAGUAGAACCCGAGCCAAAUAGAAGAUGACGAUACCCAGCAAGCAGCCACAGAUCCAGCAGUCAAUUAGCAAUUUUGGAGAGUUUAAACACUCCUAGCAGCCAAAGGGAAGGAAAUUUCAAGUUUUCUUCUCAUUUUCUCUUGGAAUUCCAAGUUUUCUUUCGAAUUUACUGCCCUCUUUUGGUCUUGGCUUCCUCUUUUAUUUGAUUUCAGAUAUUUAUUUUUUGAUAUUUUUAGUGUGUGUGAGAGAGAGCUGGCGAUGGAGGAUGAUGGCUAAGCUUUUGUUUUUAUGGAGGAAGUGUGUGAUCUUUGGUUUUGAGAGGGAGAGGAAGAAGAAGAUGGAGGGGAAACAAAUGCUGGGAUUGAAAAAAUGGGGAGGGGAGCUACGCCGUUGUUCUCUGAAGUAGCAGGUGUCGUUGUGUUGAAGAAGAAAGAAAGCACCGUUUCUCUGUCUUUUUCAGAGGGAGAGGGUCCUUGAUUUUUAGGUCUCUAUCUGAUCUUUUUAGGUCUAGCUCUAGGUCUUAAUUAAAAGGGAAG